rnacentral:rRNA from 1 species
CCUACGGGUGGCAGCAGUGAGGAAUAUUGGUCAAUGGCCGGAAGGCUGAACCAGCCAUGCCGCGUGAAGGUCAGUGCCCUAUGGGCGUUAAACUUCUUUUGUGCGGGAGCAAUAAUGGUCACGUGUGGCCAGACGAGAGUACCGUACGAAUAAGCAUCGGCUAACUCCGUGCCAGCAGCCGCGGUAAUACGUAGGUGGCAAGCGUUGUCCGGAUUUACUGGGUGUAAAGGGCGUGUAGCCGGGAAGGCAAGUCAGAUGUGAAAUCUGGAGGCUCAACCUCCAAAUUGCAUUUGAAACUGUUUUUCUUGAGUACUGGAGAGGCAGACGGAAUUCCUUGUGUAGCGGUGAAAUGCGUAGAUAUAAGGAGGAACACCAGUGGCGAAGGCGGUCUGCUGGACAGCAACUGACGGUGAGGCGCGAAAGCGUGGGGAGCAAACAGGAUUAGAUACCCCUGUAGUC